rnacentral:rRNA from 1 species
AUUGAACGCUGGCGGAAUGCUUUACACAUGCAAGUCGAACGGCAGCACGGACUUCGGUCUGGUGGCGAGUGGCGAACGGGUGAGUAACAUAUCGGAACGUAUCCAAUAAUGGGGGAUAACUAAUCGAAAGGUUGGCUAAUACCGCAUACGCCCUACGGGGGAAAGCUAGGGAUCUUCGGACCUGGCGUUAAUGGAGCGGCCGAUAUCUGAUUAGCUAGUUGGUGGGGUAAAGGCCCACCAAGGCGACGAUCAGUAGCUGGUCUGAGAGGACGACCAGCCACACUGGAACUGAGACACGGUCCAGACUCCUACGGGAGGCAGCAGUGGGGAAUUUUGGACAAUGGGCGCAAGCCUGAUCCAGCCAUUCCGCGUGAGUGAAGAAGGCCUUCGGGUUGUAAAGCUCUUUCGCAAGGGAAGAAAACUUAUCCUCUAACAUAGGAUGAGGUUGACGGUA